rnacentral:rRNA from 1 species
CAGCCGCCGCGGUAAUACGAAGGGUGCAAGCGUUACUCGGAAUUACUGGGCGUAAAGCGUGCGUAGGUGGUGGUUUAAGUCUGUUGUGAAAUCCCCGGGCUCAACCUGGGAAUGGCAAUGGAUACUGGCAAGCUAGAGUGUGUCAGAGGAUGGUGGAAUUCCCGGUGUAGCGGUGAAAUGCGUAGAGAUCGGGAGGAACAUCAGUGGCGAAGGCGGCCAUCUGGGACAACACUGACGCUGAGGCACGAAAGCGUGGGGAGCAAACAGGAUUAGAUACCCCUGUAGUCCCUGUCUCUUAUAA